rnacentral:rRNA from 1 species
GACGAACGCUGGCGGCGUGCUUAACACAUGCCAGUCGAACGGAAAGGCCCUUCGGGGUACUCGAGUGGCGAACGGGUGAGUAACACGUGGGUGAUCUGCCCUGCACUUUGGGAUAAGCCUGGGAAACUGGGUCUAAUACCGAAUAGGACCACGCGCUUCAUGGUGUGUGGUGGAAAGCUUUUGCGGUGUGGGAUGGGCCCGCGGCCUAUCAGCUUGUUGGUGGGGUAAUGGCCUACCAAGGCGACGACGGGUAGCCGGCCUGAGAGGGUGACCGGCCACACUGGGACUGAGAUACGGCCCAGACUCCUACGGGAGGCAGCAGUGGGGAAUAUUGCACAAUGGGCGCAAGCCUGAUGCAGCGACGCCGCGUGAGGGAUGACGGCCUUCGGGUUGUAAACCUCUUUCAAUAGGGACGUAGCGCAAGUGACGGUACCUAUAGAAGAAGCACCGGCCAACUACGUG